rnacentral:rRNA from 1 species
GUACACUCCUGCGGGAGGCAGCAGUGAGGAAUAUUGGACAAUGGGUGGAAGCCUGAUCCAGCCAUCCCGCGUGCAGGAAGACGGCCCUAUGGGUUGUAAACUGCUUUUAUCUGGGGAUAAACCUACUUACGUGUAAGUAGCUGAAGGUACCAGAAGAAUAAGCACCGGCUAACUCCGUGCCAGCAGCCGCGGUAAUACGGAGGGUGCAAGCGUUAUCCGGAUUUAUUGGGUUUAAAGGGUCCGUAGGCGGACUGAUAAGUCAGUGGUGAAAUCCGACAGCUUAACUGUCGAACUGCCAUUGAUACUGUUAGUCUUGAGUAAGGUUGAAGUGGCUGGAAUAAGUAGUGUAGCGGUGAAAUGCAUAGAUAUUACUUAGAACACCAAUUGCGAAGGCAGGUCACUAAGUCUUAACUGACGCUGAUGGACGAAAGCGUGGGGAGCGAACAGGAUUAGAAACCCGGGUAGUCCCAU